GUUUGCCGGCUUCCGCGGUGAUGGAUCACCGUUUCAGUGGCAUUUAAAUCCCCGGCGCUCCGCCGUCUAGGUGACGCGCAGUCGCCCCCCCAGGCAGCCCAGGCGGCGGCAGCUGCUGCGGCGACUGCAACGGCAGAUUUGGAGUGCUGGAGCGAAGAAGAGCAAAGGCUGCCUUCUGCGCGCGCCCGACUCCACUGCCCGCCCCGCCAGGCCUCCGGGAGGUGGGGGCUGGGAGGCGUCCCCCGCUCCCGCCCCCUCCCCACUGUGCACUGAAAGAUGAACUGGCGAGAGGUCUGUUUUGCCUGAACCAUCAAGAGCUGGGAGAUUAAUCAACCACACUGAAAAUGUGGAGAGAUUUAUGGGGGAGGGGGUUGAAAUGUGGAUGUUUGAAACAAAAGUGUAUAAAUAAAUGAAUUGUUGAUAACUUAGUUAUUGACCUGGAGACUGGUAGCUUAUUAAAGAAACUCCAUGUUACUCAUUCCUGGAGUUGGAGGUUUCUAUAGGCACUUUAUUUCUCCACUUUCAAGAGCUUGGGCUUGGCCCAAAUCUUAGACUGCCCAAUUAUGUCUCUAUUACCAAUUUAAAUCUAUGGCUUGAACCUGUGCACUGAAAAUCAAAUCUAUUGCCUUUAAAAAGAAGGAGGAGAAGAAGCAAAAAAGCAAAAACAAACAAACAACAACAACAACAAAAAAAAACACUUAUUAGAAGCCCUAGUCAUUUUUUGGCUUUCUGUUUUGUUGCUGUCCAUAGAAGACUUUGAACAUGCCGCCUUAAUAAAUGUAUUAAAAUUGAAAAA